rnacentral:rRNA from 1 species
GAUGAACGCUGACGGCGUGCUUAACACAUGCAAGUCGAAGGGAGUGGCGAACGGGUGAGUAACACGUGAGUCACCUGCCUUUUUCUUUGGGAUAAGCCUGGGAAACUGGGUCUAAUACUGGAUGGACUGGGAUGGGCUCGCGGCUUAUCAGCUUGGUGGUGGGGUGAUGGCUUAACAAGGCUUUGACGGGUAGCCGGCCUGAGAGGGUGGUCGGUCACAGUGAGACUGAGAUGCGGCCCAGGCGACUACGGGGGGCAGCAGUGGGGGAUAUUGGACAAUGGACGAAAGACUGAUGCAGCGACGUCGUUUGGGGGAUGAAGGCCUUCGGGUUGUAAACUCCUUUCGCCCGCGGAAUGGUAGUGGGUAAAGAAGCGCCGGCUAACUACGUGCCAGCCGCCGCGGUAAUAC